rnacentral:misc_RNA from 1 species
UAUCUAAUAUGCUGUUGCCCGCAGAGUAAUGUUCAAUCCUCAAACGAGUUUCUUUCGUAAUUUCUUUCUCCAAUGCAUCAGCUGAUUUGCUGAUAUCUUUUAUUUGCUUUUCCAGAAGAUUACUUAGGUCCACGUCAUAGUUUAUGUCCUCAAUCAGAAAUGGAGAUGCACCAGAAGAUUUCACAUGUUUUUCUGAUUCCAAUAACACUGCAACAGUUGGGUAGACAGUGAUGCUUUUCAUGGCCAAUUUCAUGAU